rnacentral:rRNA from 1 species
UCCCACCUGACCCCAUGCCGAACUCAGAAGUGAAACGCCGUAGCGCCGAUGGUAGUGUGGGGUUUCCCCAUGCGAGAGUAGGGAACUGCCAGGC